rnacentral:lncRNA from 1 species
GGCUGGAGUGCAGUGGUGCGACCUUGGCUUGCUGCAACCUCCGCCUCCUGGGUUCAAGCGAUUCUCCUGCAUCAGCCUCCCAAGCAGCUGGGACUACAGAUAAACAACAAUAAAAAAAUGAAGAGACAAGAAGUCAAGAGACUUGCCCAAAGAGACCCAGCUAAUGCAGAUGGCAGAGGCAGGAUUCAAGAACAGAUCUUUUCAUUCUAAGUCCAGGACACUCUCCAGUCACCACAGGCUACUGCCUGUGUGUUGAUUUUAUUUUGUGAGUGGGUUGCAUUCAUUUUCAAGGGUGUGUAGGAAUUUAGAAAGCAGAAUAAACCAAAGAGAGCAA